rnacentral:rRNA from 1 species
CCUACGGGAGGCAGCAGUGGGGAAUAUUGGACAAUGGGCGAAAGCCUGAUCCAGCAAUGCCGCGUGAGUGAUGAAGGCCUUCGGGUCGUAAAGCUCUUUUACCAGGGAUGAUAAUGACAGUACCUGGAGAAUAAGCUCCGGCUAACUCCGUGCCAGCAGCCGCGGUAAUACGGAGGGAGCUAGCGUUGUUCGGAAUUACUGGGCGUAAAGAGUACGCAGGCGGUUAUUCAAGUCAGAGGUGAAAGCCCGGGGCUCAACCCCGGAACUGCCUUUGAAACUAGAUAACUAGAGUCUUGGAGAGGUUAGUGGAAUUCCGAGUGUAGAGGUGAAAUUCGUAGAUAUUCGGAAGAACACCAGUGGCGAAGGCGACUAACUGGACAAGUACUGACGCUGAGGUACGAAAGCGUGGGGAGCAAACAGGAUUAGAUACCCUGGUAGUCCACGCCGUAAACGAUGAUAACUAGUUGUUCGGUCACUUGGUGACUGAGUGACGCAGCUAACGCAUUAAGUUAUCCGCCUGGGGAGUACGGUCGCAAGNUUAAAACUCAAAUGAAUUGACGG